UCGGUUAAGUACGUCUCGAUUGGUGUU
rnacentral:sRNA from 1 species